rnacentral:rRNA from 1 species
AAUCAACGCUGGCGGCGUGCCUAACACAUGCAAGUCGAACGCGAAAGCCCCUUCGGGGGCAAGUAGAGUGGCGUCCGGGUGAGUAACACGUGGGUAAUCUACCUCCGGGUGGGGAAUAACUCGCCGAAAGGUGGGCUAAUACCGCAUAAUGCAGCGGCACCGAAUGGUGAUUAGUUGUUAAAGCGGGGGACCUUAGGGCCUCGCGUCUGGAGAGGAGCCUGCGGCAGAUUAGCUUGUUGGAGGGUAAUGGCCUACCAAGGCUGCGAUCUGUAGCUGGUCUGAGAGGACGGCCAGCCACACUGGCACUGACACACGGGCCAGACUCCUACGGGAGGCAGCAGUGGGGAAUUUUGGGCAAUGGGCGAAAGCCUGACCCAGCAACGCCGCGUGAAGGAGGAAAUCCUUCGGGAUGUAAACUUCACAAGCAAGGGAAGAGCGCGCAGGGUCGAACAAACUCUGCGUCCGACGGUACCUUGCGUAAGCCACGGCUAACUACGUGCCAGCAGCC